rnacentral:rRNA from 1 species
GACGAACGCUGGCGGCAUGCCUAAUACAUGCAAGUCGAGCGAACAGAUGAAGUGCUUGCACUUCUGACGUUAGCGGCGAACGGGUGAGUAACACGUAAGGAAUCUACCUAUAAGCGGGGGAUAACAUUCGGAAACGGGUGCUAAUACCGCAUAAUAUCUUCUUCCGCAUGGAAGAAGAUUGAAAGACGGCUCUGCUGUCACUUAUAGAUGACCUUGCGGUGCAUUAGUUAGUUGGUGGGGUAACGGCCUACCAAGGCGAUGAUGCAUAGCCGGCCUGAGAGGGGGAUCGGCCACAUUGGGACUGAGACACGGCCCAAACUCCUACGGGAGGCAGCAGUAGGGAAUCUUCCGCAAUGGGCGAAAGCCUGACGGAGCAAUGCCGCGUGAGUGAAGAAGGCCUUCGGGUCGUAAAACUCUGUUAUAAGAGAAGAACAAAUUGUAGAGUAACUGCUACAGUCUUGACGGUAUCUUAUCAGAAAGCCACGGCUAACUACGUGCCAGCCGCCGCAGUAA